UACGUAGGGUGCGAGCGUUGUCCGGAAUUAUUGGGCGUAAAGAGCUUGUAGGCGGUUUGUCGCGUCUGCCGUGAAAAUUCGAGGCUCAACCUCGAACUUGCGGUGGGUACGGGCAGACUAGAGUGUGGUAGGGGAGACUGGAAUUCCUGGUGUAGCGGUGGAAUGCGCAGAUAUCAGGAGGAACACCGAUGGCGAAGGCAGGUCACUGGGCCGCAACUGACGCUGAGGAGCGAAAGCAUGGGGAGCGAACAGG
rnacentral:rRNA from 1 species